rnacentral:rRNA from 1 species
UAAUACGGAGGGAGCUAGCGUUGUUCGGAAUUACUGGGCGUAAAGCGUGCGUAGGCGGUUAUUCAAGUCAGAGGUGAAAGCCUGGAGCUCAACUCCAGAACUGCCUUUGAAACUAGAUAACUAGAAUCUUGGAGAGGUGAGUGGAAUUCCGAGUGUAGAGGUGAAAUUCGUAGAUAUUCGGAAGAACACCAGUGGCGAAGGCGACUCACUGGACAAGUAUUGACGCUGAGGCACGAAAGCGUGGGGAGCAAACAGGAUUAGAUACCCUGGUAGUCCACGCCGUAAACGAUGAUAACUAGCUGUUCGGGCUCUACGAGCUUGAGUGGCGCAGCUAACGCAUUAAGUUAUCCGCCUGGGGAGUACGGUCGCAAGAUUA